GGUUGGUUGGUGAGUUCAUUGAAAAGUUGAACAUUGCUCAACUUUCUAACGUUUUUGCAAGUUUCUGUCGUGAGCUCCUUGCAAUAUUUAAUAGUGAAUGCAAGACUUUCAUUGAUUUUUGGAAGCAUAUAUGAUGCGGUGGACAGAAGAAGCAGAAGAGCUGUUGAUUGAAACGGUAAAAAAAAUAUGAAUGGUUAUACAACCAACAGCACGCUUCGUACAAGGAUAUUAAGAAAAAAGAAAAUUCAUGGAGAGAGAUCGCAGCCUUCAUCGCUCCAGACAUCCCUGAUAAUGCGAAGGUAGUGAGCCAUCGCUGGUCGCAACUACGAGACAAGUACCGCCGGUACCGGCCUACUCGAGUGCCAAGUGGUGGAAGCCGCGAUGACGCCGACAAGGCGUCGAAGAAGGCUAGAAAUUGGGCGCUAUUUCCUCUCAUGCAUCAGCUUCUGGACAAGCACACUGGACAAUAUAGACGUGCUGGAGACAGCUUCAACGCUCAGAACUCUUCGCAGCAGAGCCAAGCAGCCUCCCAGCUGAGUCAGGUGCCGUCCUCAGUGCCUAUAGGAGACGUUGCGUCUUUAUCAGAGGCAUCGGUAAACACGAUAAUGUGGGCGGUCGAGAACACGGCAAUCACCAAUGUCUUCCAAUCUGCACCCCCUGGCCAUGCUUCCUCGCCCGUAGCCGGCCCGUCGGCUCCUGGUGAGAAAAGCUGCACCCAGUCACCCCCUGGCCAUGCUUCCUCGCCCGUAGCCGGCCCGUCGGCUCCUGGUGAGAAAAGCUGCGCCCAGUCACCCCCUAGGCAUGCUUCCUCGCCCGUAGCCGGCCCGUCGGCUCCUGGUGAGGAAAGCUGCACCCAGUCACCCCCUAGGCAUGCUUCCUCGCCCGUGGCCGGCCCAAACCGAGGAUCGAAGAGAUCAGCGCAGUCGCCCAGGGCCGCCAGAUGUAGCAGUGGCAACAGCCGUUUCAAGCACCGUCCGACUAAUGAAACUGACUGGCAAAAUCGCCUCGUGAACCACUUGUCCAACCAAAAAGAGGAAGACGAGUUUGAUAUGUUUUGCCGGCAUCUGGCGAUAGUUAUGCGUCGGAUUCGGAGACAAGAUGCAUACUACUUCAUGACAGUCAACCUUCAAAUGAUGAAGGAGUUUGACUGCCGUGAGUAAACAACGGGAAUGGGACACGUAGUGUAUAAUUGUGUGGGUAAUUAUCAUUUGCGUGUUAAGUUCCAUUCACCUUGUUUGAGCAACUGGCAGUGCCAGAUGUUCGAGGCAGAUAGCUAUGCGAUUCAUUCAAGAACCGAUCAUUUCAAGCGAAACGAUCAAGUUAAAUACGUGUUAUAGUGUUCUUAUUUCUAUGUGUUGUUAAAUACAUGUUUAACAGUUCAA